UACGUAGGGUGCGAGCGUUAAUCGGAAUUACUGGGCGUAAAGCGUGCGCAGGCGGUUUUGUAAGCCAGAUGUGAAAUCCCCGGGCUUAACCUGGGAAUGGCAUUUGGGACUGCAAGGCUGGAGUUUGGCAGAGGAGACUGGAAUUCCUGGUGUAGCAGUGAAAUGCGUAGAUAUCAGGAGGAACACCGAUGGCGAAGGCAGCCCCCUGGGUCAAGACUGACGCUCAUGCACGAAAGCGUGGGGAGCAAACAGG
rnacentral:rRNA from 1 species